rnacentral:rRNA from 1 species
AUGGUGAAUGGCAAGGUAUGCAAACUAGUGAUUGAUAGUUGCAGCUGCGAGAAUCUUAUCUCCCAGAAGUUGGUGGACCAUUUAAAGCUUGAAACCCAUGAUCAUCCAAAUCCCUACACUAUUGGAUGGAUCAAGAAAGGAGUGAAUAUGAGGAUCACCAAACAAUGCAACCUGCCACUUUCUUUGGGUAAGCAUUAUCGCUCAAAUGUGUUGUGUGAUGUGGUUGACAUGGAUGCCAGCCAUGUUCUUCUUGGGAGGCCUUGGCAAUUUGAUGUGGAUACUACACACAAGGGCAAGGAAAAUUCUUACUCUUUCAUUUGGAACAAGAUAAGGAUCAUUAUCUUACCAAACAAACCCGAAGGUAAUACCUCUAAGGAGGAGGGGAAAACUAUGUUAACUAUUUCCCAUACCUCUCAUGAGUUUAUGGAAGACUUGAAGGAGGCAGAUUUGUGUGCUGCACUUGUUGUAAAGGGAGAAGAGCACAUGACUGUUGAAAUUCCAGCAAAGGUACGUGGUUUAUUGGCAGAAUUUCAGAACAUACUUGGGGAGCCACAUGGCUUGCCACCGAUGAGAGGAAUUCAACAUAGAAUUGACUUAAUUCCGGGAGCAAGUCUUCCUAAUCUUCCACACUAUCGAAUGAGCCCAAAGGAGCAUGAUAUAUUGAAGGAGAAAGUGGAGGAAUUGUUGCAAAAGGGGCACAUUCGAGAAAGUAUUAGCCCAUGUGCUGUACCAGCCCUACUCGCGCCAAAGAAAGAUGGAUCUUGGCGCAUGUGUACGGACAGUAGAGCCGUUAACAAGAUCACCGUAAGGUAUAGAUUCCCUAUUCCCCGUCUGGAUGAUAUGUUGGAUCAGCUUAGUGGAGCAAGAGUGUUCACAAAGCUAGAUUUAAGAAGUGGAUAUCAUCAAAUCCGUAUAAGACCCGGGGAUGAAUGGAAGACCGCCUUCAAGACAAAGGAAGGGUUGUUUGAAUGGCUAGUCAUGCCAUUUGGACUCUCAAAUGCACCAAGUACCUUUAUGCACUUAAUGAAUCAAGUCCUUAGAACCUUCUUAUCCCACUUUGUUGUGGUCUAUUUCGAUGACAUCUUGAUCUAUAGCAAGGAUGAGGAUGAACACUUUGAUCACAUUCGGAAGGUGCUAGAAGUACUAAGGGAAAAUGAGCUCUACGUCAACUUGAAGAAAUGUGUUUUCCUGCAAACACAACUUCUUUUCCUAGGAUUCGUCAUAACAUGUGACGGCAUUCGUGUUGAUGAUUCUAAGGUUGAAGCAAUCCGAGAAUGGCCAACUCCUAAGACCAUUUCUGAGGUAAGAAGCUUUCAUGGCCUUGCAACUUUCUAUAGGCGAUUUGUUAAGAAUUUCAGCACUAUCAUGGCACCAAUUACCAAGUGUUUGAAGAAAGGAAAGUUCCAAUGGGCAAAAGCAGCUGAAGCUAGCUUCAAUGAGAUUAAACAAAAGCUAUCACAAGCUCCUGUCUUGGUACUACCUGAUUUCAACAAGACUUUUGAGUUGGAGUGUGAUGCAAGUGGAGUAGGCAUUGGAGCUGUCCUAUCUCAAGAAAGGAAGCCCAUUGCUUUCUUUAGUGAGAAGUUAAGUGAAGCUAGACAGAAAUGGGGUACCUAUCAGCAAGAAUUAUACGCCGUUUUCAGAGCGUUGAGAACUUGGGAAGUCUAUUUGCUGCCUAAAGAGUUCAUUGUUUAUAGCGACCAUCAAUCCUUGAAGCAUUUUAGAAAUCAAAAGCAUGUUGACCGCAUGCUAGAAAGAUGGGCAGCAUAUCUUGAGAGGUUUAACUAUCUCAUCGUGCAUAAAUCUGGAAUAACUAACAGAGUGGCCGAUGCUUUGAGUCGUCGUGCAUGCCUCUUGACUUCUUUUGAAUCUGAACUUCCGGGCAUGGAUCAAAUAAAGGAGUUGUAUGAGGGUGACGAAGACUUUGGCCAUGUUUGGGUAAAGCACGCAAGGGGCCAACCAUUAGGUGAUGACUAUUUGAUGCAAGAUGGAUAUCUCUUCAAAAAUGAUCGUUUGUGCAUUCCAAGAAGUUCUCUACGUGACAAGCUAGUUAGACAGCUCCAUUCAAGUGAUCUUAGUGGCCAUGUUGGACGGGACAAGACUAUCGCUAAC